rnacentral:rRNA from 1 species
GAUGAACGCUAGCGAUAGGCCUAACACAUGCAAGUCGAGGGGCAUCACAUGAAGUAGCAAUACGGAUGGUGGCGACCGGCGCACGGGUGAGUAACACGUAUGCAACCUGCCUUCAACAAGGGGAUAACCCGUUGAAAGACGGACUAAUACCCUAUAACACAGGGGUCCCGCAUGGGAAUAUUUGUUAAAGGACAACCGGUUGAAGAUGGGCAUGCGUUCCAUUAGCUAGUUGGCGGGGUAACGGCCCACCAAGGCAACGAUGGAUAGGGGAACUGAGAGGUUUAUCCCCCACACUGGUACUGAGACACGGACCAGACUCCUACGGGAGGCAGCAGUGAGGAAUAUUGGUCAAUGGACGCAAGUCUGAACCAGCCACGUCGCGUGAAGGAAGACGGCCCUACGGGUUGUAAACUUCUUUUGUAAGGGAAUAAAGUGUAGUACGCGUACUAUUUUGCAUGUACCUUACGAAUAAGGAUCGGCUAACUCCGUGCCAGCAGCCGCGGUAAAUACUGACUCA